GGAUGGUUGGCGGAGUGGCCGAUCGCGCCGGUUUCGAAAGCCGGAGGACCGCAAGGUUCCGUGGGUUCGAAUCCCACACCAUCCUCCA
rnacentral:tRNA from 2 species